rnacentral:rRNA from 1 species
CAAUAGCGUAUAUUAAAGUUGUUGCAGUUAAAAAGCUCGUAGUUGGAUUUGUGGUGUGCGCUGUGGCGUCCAAAUUUUUGGUACUGCCGUGGCCGUGCCAUCCUUGGGUGGAAUCUGUGUGGCAUUAGGUUGUCGUGCAGGGGAUGCCCAUCGUUUACUGUGAAAAAAUUAGAGUGUUCAAAGCAGGCUUAUGCCGUUGAAUAUAUUAGCAUGGAAUAAUAAGAUAGGUCUUUGGUCCUAUUUUGUUGGUUUGCGGACCUAAGAAAUGAUUAACAGGGACAGUUGGGGGUAUUCGUAUUCCAUUGUCAGAGGUGAAAUUCUUGGAUUUCUGGAAGACGAACUACUGCGAAAGCAUUUACCAAGGAUGUUUNCAUUA